rnacentral:rRNA from 1 species
CCUACGGGAGGCAGCAGUGAGGAAUAUUGGUCAAUGGGCGCGAGCCUGAACCAGCCAAGUAGCGUGAAGGAUGACUGCCCUACGGGUUGUAAACUUCUUUUAUAAAGAAAUAAAGUGAGGCACGUGUGCCUUUUUGUAUGUACUUUAUGAAUAAGGAUCGGCUAACUCAGUGCCAGCAGCCGCGGUAAUACGGAGGAUCCGAGCGUUAUCCGGAUUUAAUGGGUUUAAAGGGAGCGUAGAUGGGUUGUUAAGUCAGUUGUGAAAGUUUGGGGCUUAACCUUACAAUUGCAUUUGAUACUGGCAGUCUUGAGUACAGUAGAGGUAGGCGGAAUUCGAGGUGUAGCGGUGAAAUGCGUAGAUAUCACGAAGAACUCCGAUGGCGAAGGCAGCUUACUAAACUGCCACUGACAUUGAGGCUCGAAAGUGUGGGUAGCAAACAGGAUUAGAUACCCCGGUAGUC